rnacentral:lncRNA from 1 species
CUAACCACUUAGCAUCAGAAACACCCAUCCCCUUCAUCUCCCGAAGUAAUGCUAAAAUUCGACUAAGGAAAAAAAUAAUAAUAAAAAAAAGUCGGCCGCUUUUCUCUCGUCACUCUCAUCCUUCUCUACAGUUUCUUCUCUUCCAGAAUCCCCCUUCCCCAAACAGGGAUUUUCUUGGUGACUUACGAAUCUAUACAAAGAACAUGUAUGUACUUUUCUACUUUUCUUUGAGUGUUUUAACGUGAAGUUAUGUAUGUGCAAACACAAACGUUUAUACAUAUGUGCUGCAGAAAUCUAAAAGACUAAUUUAUUUAUUUAUUUUAAUACAGUAUGGAAGUGUAUUCGCUAGAUCUUACUUUUGUUACAGUGUAUAUAUUUUAAGGGGUGUUUUCUUUUACCAAAUCUUAGAUUUCUAGUACGUGAUUUAGUCGCGAGGUCUAAUUGAGAGUUGGAUGUUUUGUUUUGCAAGUGAAAAGCAAAAAAUCCGAGGAACCGAGAAUUUAGGGUCUGAUUUGUUUAGCGAUUCUUUUUUAUUCUGGUAAAGGGUUGAUGUUAGUCCUAAUACGAGAAGAUUAGGGUUUUAGAUUGUCGGAAUUUUGUGGGCAAUUUGGGGAUGUUAGAA